rnacentral:rRNA from 1 species
CACGUAUUUAGCCGGGGCUUCUUAGUCAGGUACCGUCAUUUUCUUCCCUGCUGAUAGGGCUUUACGCGCCGAGGCGCUCCAUCGCCCACGCGGCGUCGCUGCAUCAGGGUUCCCCCCAUUGUGCAAUAUCCCCCACUGCUGCCUCCCGUAGGAGUUUGGGCCGUGUCUCGGUCCCAAUGUGGCCGCCCACCCUCUCAGGCCGGCUACUGAUCGUCGCCUUGGUGGGCCGUUGCCCCGCCAACAAGCUAAUCAGACGCGGGCCCAUCCCGCACCGCCAAGGCUUUCCGCACCGCCCCAUGCGGGGCUGUGCGCCCAUGCGGUAUUAGCAGCCGUUUCCGGCUGUUGUCCCCCAGUGCGGGGCAGGUUGCCCACGCGUUACUCACCCGCCCGCCACUGGCGGCGCCGGCUUCAGCCCCGGAGGGCCCCGCCGGCGCGCCCGUUCGACUUGCAUGUGUUAGGCACGCCGCCACGCGUUUCAUCCUGAGCCCAGGAUCGAAAACUCU